rnacentral:rRNA from 1 species
AUUGAACGCUGGCGGCAUGCCUUACACAUGCAAGUCGAACGGUAACGCGGGGCAACCUGGCGACGAGUGGCGAACGGGUGAGUAAUACAUCGGAACGUGCCCAGUAGUGGGGGAUAGCCCGGCGAAAAGCCGGAUUAAUACCGCAUACGACCUACGGGUGAAAGCGGGGGACCGCAAGGCCUCGCGCUAUUGGAGCGGCCGAUGUCAGAUUAGGUAGUUGGUGAGGUAAAGGCUCACCAAGCCAACGAUCUGUAGCUGGUCUGAGAGGACGACCAGCCACACUGGGACUGAGACACGGCCCAGACUCCUACGGGAGGCAGCAGUGGGGAAUUUUGGACAAUGGGCGCAAGCCUGAUCCAGCCAUGCCGCGUGCGGGAAGAAGGCCU